rfam:Mustela putorius furo unplaced genomic scaffold scaffold00184, whole genome shotgun sequence.
GCCUGGGUGGCUCAGUCGGUUAAGCGUCUGCCUUUAGCUCAGGUCGUGAUCCCAGGGUCCUGGGAUCGAGUCCCACAUCCAGGCU